rnacentral:rRNA from 1 species
AGUCGAGCGGAACGAAGAGGUGCUUGCACCUCUGGCGUCGAGCGGCGGACGGGUGAGUAAUGCUUGGGAAUAUGCCUUAUGGUGGGGGACAACAGUUGGAAACGACUGCUAUUACCGCAUGAUGUCUACGGACCAAAGUGGGGGACCUUCGGGCCUCACGCCAUAAGAUUAGCCCAAGUGGGAUUAGCUAGUUGGUAAGGUAAUGGCUCACCAAGGCGACGAUCCCUAGCUGGUUUGAGAGGAUGAUCAGCCACACUGGGACUGAGACACGGCCCAGACUCCUACGGGAGGCAGCAGUGGGGAAUAUUGCACAAUGGGCGCAAGCCUGAUGCAGCCAUGCCGCGUGUGUGAAGAAGGCCUUCGGGUUGUAAAGCACUUUCAGUAAGGAGGAAAGGUUAAGUGUUAAUAGCACUUAGCUGUGACGUCACUUACAGAAGAAGCACCGGCUAACUCCGUGCCAGCAGCCGCGGUAAUACGGAGGGUGCGAGCGUUAAUCGGAAUUACUGGGCGUAAAGCGUACGCAGGCGGUUUGUUAAGCGAGAUGUGAAAGCCCCGGGCUCAACCUGGGAACUGCACCUGAUACUGCUGGACUUGAGUACGGUAGAGGGUAGUGGAAUUUCCUGUGUAGCGGUGAAAUGCGUAGAUAUAGGAAGGAACACCAGU